rnacentral:ncRNA from 1 species
GAUGGGCCCUAAAAAGUCCUUUAGACACAAAGGUUUGGUCCUGGCCUUGAGGUCAGUUAUUACUUAGUAUACACAUGCAAGUAUCCGCCCCCCUGUGAAAACGCCCUUUAACCCCUUUUAGGCACAAGGAGCUGGUAUCAGGCACGAAAAUCUGCCCAAAACACCUAGCUAUGCCACACCCACAAGGGAAUUCAGCAGUGAUUAACAUUAAGUAUUAGCGAAAGCUUGACUUAGCUAAAGUAAGACAGAGCCGGCUAAUCUGGUGCCAGCCGCCGCGGUUACACCACGUGGCUCAAAUUGACCCCCUCCGGCGUAAAGCGUGAUUAAAGCUAUAUUCUUCUAGAGUUAAACUAAAACUAGGCUGUGACACGCUUGUUUUUAAGAAAUCCAAAAACGAAAGUUACUCUAUUUUAACCAACUUGAAUUCACGACAGCUGGGGAACAAACUGGGAUUAGAUACCCCACUAUGCCCAGCCGUAAACUUUUAAUUACAACUUAAAUCGCCAGGGANCUACGAGCCAAGCUUAAAANCCNAAGGACUUGNCGUACCCCNNANCCACNNNNNNNNNNNNNNNNNNNNNNNNNNNNNNCCACGUUUNNCCUCACCAUUUUUAGUUAAUCAGCCUGUAUACCUCCGUCGUCAGCUUACCACGUGAGCGCCAAUUAGUGAGCUUAAUGUUUUUCACCAAUACGUCAGGUCAAGGUGCAGCAAAUGAAAUGGGAAGAGAUGGGCUACACUUUCUAUAUUAGAAAAUACGAAAAACUACUUAUGAAACCUAGUUAGAAGGCGGAUUUAGCAGUAAAAAGGAAUCAGCAUAUUCAUUUUAACCCGGCACUGGGGUGUGUACACACCGCCCGUCACCCUCUUCAAAGCCAUCAGCCUAGUUUUUAACAACUAAGGGCGUCACAGAAGAGGCAAGUCGUAACAUGGUAAGUAUACCG